UCCCUGGUAACUCAGAUGGUAAAGUGUCCGCCUGCGACGUGGAAGACCCAGGUUCCAUCCCUAGGUCGGGAA
rnacentral:tRNA from 1 species